CUAGCCCGAGCAACCGACUAACAGAGCUACUAUAUACAUAACCAAUUUAAAACAUUCAGUCAUAAAAUUAAAGUAUAGGAGAUAGAAAUCUUUAUCUGGAGCUAUAGAAAAAGUACCGUAAGGGAACGAUGAAAGAACAAUUUAAAGUGAUAAACAGCAAAGAUUACCCCUUUUACCUUUUGCAUAAUGAAUUAGCUAGACAUGACUUAGCAAAGAGAACUUAAGUUAAUUACCCCGAAACCAGACGAGCUACCUACGAACAAUCCACUUGGGAUAAACUCAUCUAUGUCGCAAAAUAGUGAGAAGAUUUUUAGGUAGAGGUGAAAAGCCUAACGAGCCUGGUGAUAGCUGGUUGCCCAGAAUAGAAUCUUAGUUCAAUUUUAAAUUUACCUAACAACCCCAAAAAUUCCAAUGUAAAUUUAAAAUAUAUUCUAAAAAGGUACAGCUUUUUAGACAAGGAUACAGCCUUACUUAGAGAGUAAAACAAUUCAUAAGA
rnacentral:rRNA from 1 species